rnacentral:rRNA from 1 species
GGGAUAACUGCCCGAAAGGGCAGCUAAUACCGCAUGAGACCUGAGGGUGAAAGCGGGGGAUCGCAAGACCUCGCGCUGGAAGAGCGGCCGAUGUCCGAUUAGCUAGUUGGUGAGGUAAAGGCUCACCAAGGCGACGAUCGGUAGCUGGUCUGAGAGGACGACCAGCCACACUGGGACUGAGACACGGCCCAGACUCCUACGGGAGGCAGCAGUGGGGAAUUUUGGACAAUGGGGGCAACCCUGAUCCAGCCAUGCCGCGUGCAGGAUGAAGGUCUUCGGAUUGUAAACUGCUUUUGUCAGGGACGAAAAGGGAUGCGAUAACACCGUAUUCCGCUGACGGUACCUGAAGAAUAAGCACCGGCUAACUACGUGCCAGCAGCCGCGGUAAUACGUAGGGUGCAAGCGUUAAUCGGAAUUACUGGGCGUAAAGCGUGCGCAGGCGGUUCUGUAAGAUAGAUGUGAAAUCCCCGGGCUCAACCUGGGAAUUGCAUAUAUGACUGCAGGACUUGAGUUUGUCAGAGGAGGGUGGAAUUCCACGUGUAGCAGUGAAAUGCGUAGAUAUGUGGAAGAACACCGAUGGCGAAGGCAGCC